GCAGAGCAGAUGGCUAAGCCACGUGGCUUUGCCUAAGGCUUCCCUACUUUCCAGAACUCCCGACUCCAGCCUGGUGGGCCAUCUCCUACCUGUGGUCUCUUAAGAAUGGAGAUCCACGAGGUGCAGUGGGGAUGAAAUGAGGUGACAUUGAGAAUGCGCACCAGCAGGUCCUGCCUCCGGACGGGGCUGCCUCACACACAACCAGCCCUGUCGUUCCGGACUUGCUGACUACACGGAGACACAGCCAGCAGAACACAGCAGACGUGUGCACUUGUGCCACUACAAAGAAGCCGACACAGGGACAGGAGGGCUGCUUACUCGUUUAUGGAGGCCUUCGGCAAGACCUCACGGGGGGGGGUCUCUGAGUAAAGACUUGGAGAAAGUUGGGGGGGUAGAAAACCGUGGGCACCAGAAAUGUCAUGAGCAAGUGCCCCGGGGCAGGACAGUGCUUGAAAACCGGGAAGACAGACAGUGGCUGGGGCAGAGUGUGGAAUGGGAGGCAGGAGGUGACAUCAGAGAAGUGGGGGGGGGGGGCAGGUCACAUGUGAUCUGCAGGGGCCAUUGAAAGGACUUGGGCUGACUUGCUGGGAUCUGCUCUCAAAGCUCCUCUGGCCGAUUGGAGGGUGGGCUGGAGGGGCGGAACCAGAGAGCCUGGAGGUAGCAGAUAGGGUGGGUGUGUGUGACUCAGAGCCUGCACCCUCACCCCAUCUCAUGGAGGCCUGGAACUGAGCCAAGUGGAGUUAGAACAUGAAGAAGAGCGACAGUGACAAGGAAGGCAGACAGCAAGGUCCUGAGGCCAGGCCAGGCUCCAUGGAAGCCUGAGCUGAGCUCAGGAUGGUGAGGUGGGAAACUGGCUAGAGAAAGGUUGUAAAACUUGGUGUGUGUGUGUGUGUGUGUGUGUGUGUGUGUUACAUGUAUGUGGAUGUGAAUGCACACAGGUGCACAUGUGGAAGCCAGAUGAGGUGUCUGCUGGACAUCCCCACUCUCCAUCACAUUGCCUUGAUGUGAGGUCUCUGGCUGACCCAGGAGCUCACUGGUUCUGCUAGGCUGACUGGCUACUAAGCCCUCGAGAUCCGCCAGUGCCCAGCACAGCUUCACAGGGAUGUGGGGUCCUCAGGCCUUUACAGCAAGUGCUCUUACCUGUGAGCAACUGCCCAGCCUGAGGCCCCUGGGAACUGGAAUGAGCAUCUUAGGCCCUGGGGCCUGUGACAACUUGGUUGGGAUAUAAGUUCAGAGAGAACUAGAGAAGAACUGAGGCAGCAGGUGGAUGUUUCUUUGUGGGGAAGGAGCCUGUGCUGGUGACAAAUGUGUGUGUGUGUGUUUAUGGGGGGGUAUGCCUGAAAUUACAGUGGUCAGAAGGGGGAGGGGGAAGCAUAGCAAGUUCAAGCCAGAUUGUUCUGGAUGUCAAGACUCCAUCUCAAAAUAGGAGAGGCAUUGCAUCAGGGAAGGUUUUUAUAAAGCAACCUUUAAACAGAUCCCCACCCCGAGUCAUGUUCCCCCAGGCCAGCCCUUUCCAAGACCUCAGUGGACUGUCAGCAGUAAGACUGGGGCAUGGGGACAACGCUGGGAGCUGUGCCACAGACUCCCUCAGAUUCCUGAACGUUGUCUCCAUGUGUCGUUCUGUUCGGGACCCCGUCCAGUCCAGGGUGCCAUGUUGCAGUCAGAACAGGUCCUCUUCAUGCUAACGUCAUUAAAAUAGGAGGGCAUGGAGAGUCUGCUAACAGUACCGGAAACCGCCAGUGAGGAGGCGACCCUGAGGAAGCAGGUUUGGCUUCCAGUGCCCACAGGGCGGCUCACAACUGUCUGUCGUGUGACUCCAGAGGGUCUGAGGGUGCUCUCCUGAGCCCUCAGGCACCAGGCAAGCAAGCGGUGCAUGUACAUGCAGAAGUCAAAACAGUCAUAAGGUAAGACAAAUCUUUGAAAUAACGAACGCACAGAAGAUGAAUGAAUGCAUGCAUCCCCGCCUCUGUGAGAACCGAGGCUAACAUCGUGAUACUUGGUCAUGAAGGAUUAAGUUUGCCACCCGCUGGCACGCAAAGCGAGCCUGUGAAGACAGGCUCCUGAGCACACAGUGGCACGGUGGACACGCGAGUUGGUGAGCAGCCGCACAGUGGGCACACGGGUCUGUGAGCAGUCACAUGACUGGCCUGUUGGGCCCCUCCCCUCCUCUGCUCCGGGAAGUAGGACUUCUUUCUAGCGCAGGCAUCAACCCUAGGGGAAACAUGGCCACAGUGAGGCUUUAGGGGUGAGCAGGGGACACCUGCUGCACUGCAGAGUCCUCAGAGCUCCCACGUCUGCACCACAUGCUGUUGGUGUAUUUAAAAAAACACUCUUUUAUUUACAUUUCUUGUAUCUUUUUCUCCCUAUUCCACCCAAUCCCUGCCAACACCCCAAUACCAGGUAGGAGAAAGAAAGGGUUAGUGGGAGAGGAGGCCCAGUUCUCUUAGCUGCUUCCUGCUGGUUAGGGUCGUCGGGUUCCUUGGAGCCAGUCCAAUCUGCAUUUCAGAAGAUCUCCAACUUCUGUUCUUGCAACAGCAACCAGGAGCAGCAAGGGGGGAGCAGGAGCAGCCUUGUUCUUCCUUGGAGCCUCCACGCUCUCUGGGCUCCGGCAUUUAUUCUCUCUCCAGAGUCCUUGGAUUUAAACUAUCUGCAGCUGGCAAAGAGCUCCUCUCAGAGCCCACACCAGGCAAAGAGUCUACUGGUGUGGACCAUCUGAAUCAGUCCCGUAUUCUACACCUGGGAUCAAAACAGAAGCACGUUUAUAUCCACAGCAACACGUACAAUGCAAAUAUUGCUCUCUAUGCAGGGAGGCAUGGGAAUGGCCAGGGUAAGAGGUCCACCUCGGCUGUCUGUCUCAUUUUUAGAGACAGACUCCCUCAUUGGCUGGGGGCUCACCAGCGGGCCAGGCUGGCUGCUCAGUGAACCUCUGGAUGUCCCAUCUCCGUUUCCCAGCGUCAGGGUUAUGGAUGCAGCACCACAAAGAGAUCUGAAUUGUCCUCUGUGUUUUCUUUUUUGUUUUGUUUUCACAUGUUUUGUUUUCAAUUCUAGGGAAUUGAACUCAGGACCUCAUUCUUGCAAGGUCAACAUCUCACCACCUGAGCCACACCCUGGCUCUUCCCUGCUGUUUCUUGGGCGGAGCAACUGUGGUCUGCAGGGAAUUCGCAGCACUAAGCAGGAUGGGUGGCAUGUGUGGUGCCCCUUGGUUAGUCAGGGCUCAAGAGGACAUGAAUAGGAGAGAUCCUUAAAUUGCUAUGGAACCCCGGAAGAAGAGGCAGCACACAGAAAAAGGGGUCACUUGAGGGAAAGGGGGUUGACGGUUGAGUGUGGGGGUCUAAAAGCAAGUCCUUUAUUCCCUUAACCAGCAUUCCUGUGACAGGAGAGGAGAGGCGACCGGACGCACCCCGAGUGGCAGAGAUGGCCACACCAGCCUGCGUUCAAGAGCUGCUGGUCAGGCAAGACCAGGCUCUGGUCAACCCUGGCGUGGCCCUGCCGAGGGGGAGCUCAGAGCCCAUGAGUCAGCGGCCGUGUUUCUAAGAACAAUAGUGCUCUUUCAAUAAACAUUUGUUCAACCAGCAAA